ensembl:lncRNA SNHG14 small nucleolar RNA host gene 14
AUGUGAUCCUUGGAGAUGCCAGGAAGCCCCUUGACACAUGUGGCAUGGGCUCCUUCAGAGGCUUUUGGAUCCGUCGUGAAUGUGGCAUGGGCAUGCAAAGAAAGACAGAGGCUGCAAGGGAUAAACUUCAUCUUGGGAGAUCCCUGGAGAUGGCAGGGAACCCAUGGACACAUGUGGCAUGGGCUCCUUUGGGUGCCGGUGGAUCCCUUCAUACGGUAAAGCCAGAGUUGGGUAUCAACCAGAUACACUGCAGGGGAUCAGAGGACAUGGCCUUUGUGUACUGCACAUCUGUCAGAUUUUCUCAAGCACACCCGUGUUUCCUCUUCACCUCCCACGUGGAAGUGAUGAAUUGGCCAGGACCAUGUUGGUGAGGGACAAUCAUCAUCUCAUGUUAACCUCAGAGAAGCCAGGAAGCUCCUGGACACACAUGGUGUAGGCUUCCUUGGAGGCUGUUGGAUCUCUCCUGAAUGUAGUGUUGGUGUAAAAGGCAAACCCGUGUCAUGAGGGAUGGUCAUCAUCUUGUGUGAUCCUUGGAGAUGGCAGGAAGCCCUGGACAUACAUGGUGUGGGGGCUCCUCCAGAGGCUGUUGGGAUCCUCCUGGAUGUGGUGUGGGCAUGGAAGGAAGGCCAGUGGAGACAAUGGAUGAUCUUGUUCUUAGCAGAUCACUGGAUGUGGCAGGGAGUCCUAGGACAUGUGUGGUGUGGGCUUCUUCAGGUGCUGGUGGUGUUGGCAUGAGGAAAGGAGGUAUCUUCGAGGGACAAUCUUCUUCUUGUGCGAUCCUUGGAGAUGCCAUGAGGCCCCUGGACACAUGUGGUGUGGGCUCCUUUGGAGGCUGUUGUAUCCCUUCUGAAUGUGGCGUGGGCAUAGAAGGAAGGCCAGUGGCCACGAGGGACAAUCUUGGUCUUGGGAGAUCCUGGAAAUGAUAGGGAGUCCCUUGAUAUGUGUGGCAUGGGCUCCUUCAGGUGCUAGUGGAUUCCUUAGGAUGGUGGUGUUGGCAUGAAAGGCAGGCUUGUAUCAUGAGGAAUGAUUGUCAUCUUGUCUGAUUCUUGGAGAUGGCAGGAAGCCCCUGGAAACACAUGGUGUGGACUCUUUCACAGGCUGUUGAAACCCUCCUGAAUGUGAGGCCAGAGACAGGCAGACAGCAGAUGUAUUGCAGGGAGCUGGAUGACAUGGCCCUUGGAACCUGUGCACAUGCCUGCCUUUCUGAUGCACGUCCAUGUUUUCUCUGCACCUCCCCGGUGGUGUUGGUAUAAAAAGCAGGCUUACAUCAGCAAGGGAUGAUUGUCGUCUCAUGCGAUCCUGGGAGAUGGCAGAAGUCCCGGGACACAUGGAGUGUGGGCUCUUUCGGAGGCUGUUGGAUCCCUCCUGAAUGUGUUGUGGCCAUGGAAGUAAGGCCAGUGGCUACGAGGGACAGUCUUCAUCUUGGGAGAUCCCUAGAGAGGGCAGGGAGCCCCUUGACAUGUGGAAUGUGAUCUCUGUUGGGUGCUGGUGGAUCCCACAGGUGGUCUGGCAUGGAAGAAGGCCAGAGGCUGCGAUGGAUCAUCUUUGUCUUGGGAGAUUCCUGGAGAUGGUGGGGAGCCCCUGGGCACGUGCAGCAUAUGUGGCGUGGGCUUCUUCAGGUGCUGGUGGAUCCCUCAGGAUGCUUUUCAAGGUUUUUCUAUGAGUUCUGUUAAAGAGUCUGAAAAUGGAGCGUAGAAGACAUGCUUCGAUUUCCAGGAUGGUUGUGUUUUCCAGAGAGGCGGAGGUAAACCACUGGCGCAGCCCUGCCUCCCACAGAUAAUUCCGGGUGCAGUGUUUCAUAUCUAGACUUGGACUUCUAUCCUACCAUACUUCUUUGUGUGCAGUUCAUUGUGGAACCAGCACAGAUUUUCAUACGAAAGUUAUUUCUUUUUAACCUCAAAAAGUGACAGAAUGGAGUGUAUCAUGAAAAAGUCUGACAUCAAAACCUCAAAAUGUGAUAUUGAUUGGGUGAGAUAGAAUUCCAUGGAAUUUCAUUGCCAAACCAGUGAAGUGCUAAUUUUGACAUUUGUACCAGCUAACGUAGCUGUGAAGAAACACACCAAUACACUUCUAAGGACAGCAUAGACCAAGAUCUAGGUUUCAUAUGGAUGAAUUUAUUCUUCCCUUUGAGGCAAGACAAGAAGGAAAGAAAGUAUUGGGAAUAAUGCUGCCCUCCCAUCCUCAAGGGCCAGUGGGAACUCUAAUAUUGAUUGGGUGAGAUACAAUUCCAUGGAAUUUUACCACUGAACCAGUGGAGGGCUAAUUUUGUCAUUUGUACCAGUUAACUAACUUGGGAGGAAACAGAACAACACACUCCUGAGGGUAAAAUGGAAACUCUGAGAGUUUGGUUGGCGGCAUCUAUAUACCAUAGAAACAGAGCCUGGGAAGCAGAACAGUGAGACCCAAGAGAAAUGUUCCUGCCUAUACUUGAUUGGUUUUCACAGAAUUCCAUGGACUUUAACUGCUGAACCAAUGAUGCACUGAUUUUGUCACUUGUACCAGCUAACGCAUCUGGGAGGCAACAAAACAAUACUCUCCUGAGGUUAAUGUGGACCAAAAACUAGAUUUCAUAUAAAAGAGUUUAUUCCUUCUACUUGAGGUGUGACAUGAAGGAAAGUAAUGGAAAUAAUUCUGCCCUCCCAUUCUCAAGGGCCAGGGGGAAUUCAAAUAUUGAACGGAAGUGAUUUUGGAAUUGCAUGGAAUUCUCACUGCCAUCCCAAAGAAAUGCUGAUCUUGUCACUCUUACCUGUUUCAUUCCCUGGGGGCAGAACAAAAGGACGCACUCCAAAGAUCGGCAUGAACCAAGAACUGGGUUUCAUAUAAAAUAUUUUAUUCUGUCCUCUUGAGAUGUGACAUGAGAAAAGUAUUGAGAAUACUUCUAUCACCUCAUCUUCAAGAAUCCGUAGGAAUUCUCCCAUGGUGGACUUUACGGUUAACCUGAACAGGUCUUGGAAAAAGGACUUUAAACAUUCUCCUGUUCUGUGGAAUAAGUAUACUUUUUUCUGGACAUACACCUUGUCAGUGAGUUCCAUGUGAUACUAGAGUUGCAUAGAUUUUUAACCUUUACGCCAAUGAAGAUCUGAGGCAAACAUUGCCCCUUUUUUAGAAGUUUGCAUUUGUCACUGAUAACUGUAAUAAUUGAUCUUGUUGAAAAGCCUGGGAAAUGAAGAUCUGAUAUGUCACUUUUACCGGCUUCCUCAACUGAAAAAGAAUACAAUGAAACACGCUGAGAAUUUUUGUGCUUUCUCAGUCUUGCUGAUGAUCUUUCUAUGGGCCUGAAGCGUGGAGAGUGCCAGAGAGGCUGAUCCUCAGCAGUGUGGCAGAGGAAAGUUGGGUGCGACUAAGGGGUAUGCGGUGCCCACAUGCCACUGGGUCCUCAGCAGUACCACCUGAUUGGAAGUGAUAUUGGUGGAAGACAACAUUUUGCCGCUUGGAAUUCUCACCUCCACACCAAAGAAGUACUGUUUUUGUCAUUUGCACCAGCUUCUUUCUCCAGGAAAGAUCAAAACGAUGCACUGCAAGUUUCCAGUUCUACACCUCCUUCUCGUUCCUCAGUGUGAUUGGUCCAGAUAGCUGCCUUAUCCAACUGCCUCCUUUGGACCACUUCAUCAUGGGACAGCUUGAUGCAAUCUACUUGACAAGACCCUGGAACCCCACACCCCUCAUGGAACCAGUGUCCACCUCCCAGUCACAGUGUGACCCCAGGGAACUCUUGCCUGCUUGCUUUAAACCCACCACUUAAAAGUCUCCACAGAAAACCUGUUUGAAUAGUACCCUUGACCCAAUAAGGGCAUUGGCCCCUGGGUGUCUCUCUCUCUCUCUCUCUCUCUCUCUCCCUCUCUCUCCCUCUCUCUCUCUCGCUCCCUGACCUCUGCGUGUGGACUCCAGGCAUGCCAUAUACCCCUCAGGACCUGAAGCAAAAGAAUGAAUUAAAGAAAACUCCAGAGAAUGAGCUGACAACCUACUCCCUGGUCAGUGGCUCUCCAUGCCUACCUGUGGUCUCUUGGACACCCUUGCAGAAGAUGACUUCCUGGGAACUCUUCUGGGAGUGAAUGUUAUCAGCAAAUUCCCAAAACAACACCCCUUAGACAAAAAGCCUCCUCACCUAUGCAUUGCCUAGACCACCCACUAAAGGUGAUGGCCACAAAGAGGUGGAUUUGUUGAGUUGGUGCCAUUCCUUCUACUGCCAGCUUCACCAAAACAAUGACACAGUCUUCCUUCCGCAUGGAGACUCUUCUCUUUCCUGUGUUGCAGUGGAUGCCUCCUGCAGAUAAGAAAUGCUUAACUGAGAAAUGCUCAUGUUGGGAUAUCAUCGAUGAGACUUUAAUUUGGGCAUGGUGACUGUUUCCCUUGCUGCCACUUGACUCAAUCCCAGGAGCCUCAGUAGAGGAUAUAAUAUUACACAAGAUGCUCAAAAUGGUGGAAUUGCUCAGUGCUCCCAUAAAUAUACAUUUAUAAUUUUCAUUUGCCACAUGGUAAACUGAAAAAUACAGACUAUAUUAAAAAGAAACUGCAUGAUUUUUUUUCAAAAAUUCAAAGCAUAUUUAAAUAAUAUAUAAAUUAAAUGCCCUCCUCUCUUCCAAUUCUGUCCCUAUAGUUUUCCUCUAUUAAGUGAACUACAUGCAUUCUUUUAGUGGAUAGAUGCACACAAACACACAAGCCAUUAUGGGGAAGGAUCCACGUGUGUGGCCAUAUUGUAACACAUUUUUCUGCAAAUCACCUCUUUCAUUUAACAGCCCUUAUUCAAUGGCCUUUUUCUUUUUCAGUAGUACAUACACAUCUGUGUCAUUUGUUGAAUGACGACAUGAAUGUUUUGUAGAUAAAAUAUAAUUAAAUGUUUUAAGCAUUUCUCACUCAUAGAUAUUUAUGUUAGCACCAAAUUUCUGUGCAAUGAACCUCCCUAUAUAUCAGUAAUUUUGCAUUUGUCUAUAAUAUCAUAAUAAAUUACUUAUCAGUUGAAUUACUGGGAUUAAGUAUGUGCACACUUUAUAUUUAUAUUUUGAAAAUUAUUGCAAGAUUGCCUUCAAAAAUGUGGUUAACAACUUUAUCUUCAAAUGGCAAUGAAUGAGAUUGCCAGCUUUCCUACAGCCUCACAGACAAUGGAUUUUAUAAAUAUUUAACAUUUUUGCCAAUGUGAUCACCCAAACUAUUGUCUUAAAUUGUAUCUCUUUUGUUUUUGAGUUUGGUCAUUUUUUCAUGUUUAUUAGCCAUCUGUAUUUUUUAAUUUCUUCUUUAUGUCCAAUUUUGUGGGUGGGAGGAGGAUUUAGUCUCUUCCUGAUUUCGAAGAGCUCAUUUACUAUUUCGGGAAAUAAGAUUUGGAUUGUCAACCAUUAUAGCUAUUUUUUACACACUUUUCAACUUUGUUUUUGUUAUAAGAAUGUGUAUGAUUGUUACAUGUCCAAGUAUAACCAUGUUCGCUUUUAUGGCUUCUGAGUUUCAUGUCAUUUUUGGAAAGAUAUAUAUAUUGAGUCCAUAAAACCCUUCACCUAUGUUAAAUUCUAAUUCUUUUGUGUUUUUUUAAUUCAAAUUCUUAAAUCAUGAGAAAUUUUUUUGUUUUGAAAUCUUAAAGUUGCCAAGUUACUUGCCAUUACUUGCGAUUAUUUGCCAAUAAUUGCCCAUUUAUCUGUACCGCCAUCUUGCGCAUAUGCUGUACUCUCAUCUGUGACUGGCUCCAUUUUUGUUCUGUGGAUUUGUGUGUCUCUUCUUCUGCCUCCUGUCUCGUGUCUGCUCGUUGGAAGAAAUUACAGUUUAGACUGCAAUUUCAUCAACUUUAAUAAAUCAAUUGAGGGGAGAAUUGGUUUUUAAAAAUAUUAAGUAAGUCUUCGUAUCCAAGGACAAGGUAUGUCUUUUCUUAUUCAAUAAUUUUAAUUACUGUUAAUAUUUUCACUGUGGUGAUGGGAGUUUUUCUUUUAAUUUAUUUUCUUGUUCAUUUUUUGUAUCUAAAGUUUUUGUUUUGUUUUGUUUUGGGGGUAAGUUGUCACCUUACUGUUUCUUGUUGCUUUUCAGAUUUUUUCAAAGUAUAGACUAAAUCCUUCACAAAUAUUUAAAGUUUUUAUUUUCCCCCUUCAUAUUGAUCCUGAUUUUAGUUAUGUUGACAAAGUCCACAGACUGUUACUAUCAGAACACUUGAACAGUUAUGGAAAUAUUACCUACCCUUGAUUUAAUCAGAGUUUAAUGGUAUGCUUCUUUGGUUUGACUGGCACAUUGUCGCUGGUCAUUUCCUCCCAAAGACCACCAGAAAGAGCUAUGAUCAAGCAAAGCUGAGUUUGUUAAACUUACCUGCAGCAAGGGAAAACACCACCUUGAUAGGGUUUAAUAAUGUUUCAAAAUCAAGAAAUGAGGCUUUGGGGUCUGGGCAGGGAACUAAUUAGAAAUGGGCAAAAUUUGUCAUGCAAUACCUUGUGGGAAAGUGAGAUGAGGUUCUUAAUGUGAGUAUUGAUGGUGAAAUCAUUUUCUAGGUGAGCUGUUUGCCUAUAUAAAGAUGUUAUCAAUGACAGAAGAACUAUUUGCCUAGAUAAACAAACUGAAUUUAUUUAUUGGUUUACAGUUUUAUCUUGCUGGGCAGGACUCUGCUGGGGGUGGUAUCAGGUCUUAUUCCCAAUAGGUAAGUUAUUUGGAUAUGGGUGGUCUUAAUCAUCAAUGUGUAAAAUGCUGAUUUUAAGUGCGAAAUACUUUGUCUACCAUGUUAGGAAAGUCUGCCACCUUUUAUCUUUUUUAAGGAAUUUUAAUCAAAACCAGGUGGUAGAUAUAAUCAAAUUGUUUUGCAGAAUCAAUUUUCCUGUUCUCUUUAAAGACUUUUAUCACUGUGAAUUAAUUUACUAUUAUUGCAACUUCCUUUAAUUCCUUGAAUGAACAGACCCUACUGGUUUUAAAAAUGUUUUAUUCUUUUAAUUUACUACUUAAUUGUGGGUAUUUUAAUUUGAUUUGGAAUUUUUACAAGUAUACAACUAAGUGAAAUUGAUCUGUGAUUUUUCUUUUUUGUGCUAUUUUUGUCAUGUUUUGAUAUCAGAUAUUCUGGUUGUGUUAAAAUAAUUUUGAGGAUUUUCUUCUUAUACUGUGUUCUAGAGUGGGUAAAAAAGCCCUAGUCUCACUAUCAGUGUUUAAGUGAACACAUCAGUGACAUCAUCUGGACUCUCCUUUGUUUUUGCUGGUUUGGAGUUAGGACAUCUAGAAGUUUUUUUCUUUUUUUCCUUUUUUUGUAUGGUUAUUGCUUGUUCUUUGUUUUGUGUCAAAUUUAACCUGUUUUCUCUUAGCAAAUCACAGCUCAUGCAGAUUUUCAAACACAUUAGCCUUGUUAUACAAAGUGUUCUUUCAUCAUUCUAUUAAAUUUCCAUUUUCAUUCCAGUUAUAGUUAUUUCUGCUGUGCCUUUGUUAAUGAAUAAGUUUAAACAGUGGAUGUUUAGCAUCACUAGCCUUCCCCUUCCAUCUCCCUUAAUCAGGACCUUGGUAUAAUUUAUCAGGUAUUUUUUAAGGUUCUAAUUUACUUAUAUAUAUUGUUUCUGUAUUCUUUUGUUUCUUUUCUUAAUAAAUUCUUAAA